GCACGCUAACACAUGCAAGUCGAACGAAGUAGCAAUACUUAGUGGCAGACGGGUGAGUAACAUGUGGGUAUCUUCCCUUUGGCCUGGAAUAACACGAGGAAACUUGUGCUAAUACCGGAUAAGUCUUUACAGAGAAAGCUUUAUGCACCAUUGGAUGAGCCUGCACUUGAUUAGUUUGUUGGUAGGGUAAUGGCCUACCAAGACUGUGAUCAAUAGCUGAUUUGAGAGGAUGAUCAGCCACAUUGGGACUGAGACACGGCCCAAACUCCUACGGGAGGCAGCAGUGGGGAAUCUUGCACAAUGGAGGAAACUCUGAUGCAGCGAUGCCGCGUGAGUGAAGAAGGCCCUUGGGUUGUAAAGCUCUUUCGUCGGGGAAGAAAAUGACUGUACCCGAAUAAGAAGGUCCGGCUAACUUCGUGCCAGCAGCCGCGGUAAUACGAAGGGACCUAGCGUAGUUCGGAAUUACUGGGCUUAAAGAGUUCGUAGGUGGUUGAAAAAGUUGGUGGUGAAAUCCCAGAGCUUAACUCUGGAACUGCCAUCAAAACUUUUCAGCUAGAGUAUGAUAGAGGAAAGCAGAAUUUCUAGUGUAGAGGUGAAAUUCGUAGAUAUUAGAAAGAAUACCAAUUGCGAAGGCAGCUUUCUGGAUCAUUACUGACACUGAGGAACGAAAGCAUGGGUAGCGAAGAGGAUUAGAUACCCUCGUAGUCCAUGCCGUAAACGAUGUGUGUUAGACGUUGGAAAUUUAUUUUCAGUGUCGCAGCGAAAGCGAUAAACACACCGCCUGGGGAGUACGACCGCAAGGUUAAAACUCAAAUGAAUUGACGGGGACCCGCACAAGUAGUGGAGCAUGUGGUUUAAUUCGAAGAUACGCGCAGAACCUUACCAACACUUGACAUGUUCGUCGCGACUUUAAGAGAUUAAAGUUUUCGGUUCGGCCGGACGAAACACAGGUGCUGCAUGGCUGUCGUCAGCUCGUGUCGUGAGAUGUUGGGUUAAGUCCCGC
rnacentral:rRNA from 1 species